rnacentral:rRNA from 1 species
AUGUUGGUGCAUUUGCAGGUCGAGUGCGCCGAGACUUUCGAGUCGGCGGCAUGAGUUCARUUUUGAGGCCAGCUUGCUGGUACCCGGAUUGGAGGAAUGUUGUUCGGUUUGGAUGUAAGAUGGGAAAGGCUCACGAGUUKGUAUGGGCACCGAGUUGGUCGGGGGUGGCAGUCGCAUGCGACAUGUACCUUUUGCCGAUUCGGUCCUGUGCCAGCUCACAAUCCCACUCUCGGCGUAAAAGUUGGUCAUCUAUCUGACCCGUCUUGAAACACGGACCAAGGAGUUUAUCGUGUGCGCAAGUCAUUGGGUGUUGAAAACCCAAAGGCGCAAUGAAAGUAAAGCAUCCGCAAGGGUGCGACGUGUGAUCCUGGCAAUCACGGUUGYCCGGAGCAACAUGGCCCCAUUCUGGCCGCUUGCGGCGGGGUGGAGGAAGAGCGUACGCGGUGAGACCCGAAAGAUGGU